CCUACGGGAGGCAGCAGUGAGGAAUAUUGGUCAAUGGACGCAAGUCUGAACCAGCCAUGUCGCGUGCAGGAAGACGGCCCUAUGAGUUGUAAACUGCUUUUGUACGAGGGUAAACGCAGAUACGCGUACCUGUCUGAAAGUAUCGUAUGAAUAAGGAUCGGCUAACUCCGUGCCAGCAGCCGCGGUAAUACGGAGGAUUCAAGCGUUAUCCGGAUUUAUUGGGUUUAAAGGGAGCGUAGGCGGUCGGAUAAGUUAGAGGUGAAAGCUUGCGGCUCAACCGCGGAAUUGCAUCUGAUACUGUUAGGCUAGAGAGUAGUUGCGGUAGGCGGAAUGUAUGGUGUAGCGGUGAAAUGCUUAGAGAUCAUACAGAACACCGAUUGCGAAGGCAGCAUACCGGCGCGCAACUGACGCUCAUGCACGAAAGUGUGGGUAUCGAACAGGAUUAGAUACCCUAGUAGUC
rnacentral:rRNA from 1 species